rnacentral:rRNA from 1 species
AGUGAACGCUGGCGGUAGGCCUAACACAUGCAAGUCGAACUGCAGCACAGUAAGAGCUUGCUCUUACGGGUUGCGAGUUGCGGACGGGUGAUGAAUACAUCGGAAUCUACUUUUUCGUGGGUGAUAACGUAGGGAAACUUACGCUAAUACCGCAUACGACCUACGAGUGAAAUCAGGGGAUCUUCGGACCUUUCGCGAUUGAAUGCUCCUAUGUCGGAUUAGCUAGUUGGCGGGGUAAAGGGCCACCAAGGCGACGAUACGUAGCUGGUAUGAGAGGAUGAUCAGCCACACUGGAACUGAGACACGGUCCAGACUCAUACGGGAGGCAGCAGUGGGGAAUAUUGGACAAUGGGCGCAAGACUGAUCCAGACAUACCGCGUGGGUGAAGAAGGCAUUCGGGUUGUAAAGCCCUUUUGUUGGGAAAGAAAAGCAGCAGGUUAAUACCCCGAUGUUCUGACGGUACCAAAAGAAUAAGCACCGGCUAACUUCGUG